GUGUGUCUGUCUGCCUUCACUGUACAAUAUCAAAACUGACUUCCGUUGCAACCGCUGUGCCACUGUGAGUGGUUUUUGGUGUUAAAAUCGAUUUUUUGACCAGGCUGAAUAAUAUUCCGGAAAUACACUAAAAAGACUGAAAGAUCUCGAAAAACCAAGGAGAAAAUUAAAUUUGCAGUUAGUUGUGUUCUUAAAAAUGGAAUGAAAAUUAGGCGAGCGGCUGACAAUUUAGGCUUCAGUUUUUCAUGCAACGACAUGACAAUUACGAAUAUGAAGCUAAUGUUUCAUCUAGACGAUUUUUCACUCCAAAACAAGAGAAACUUCUUUGCGAAUACUUACAAAUGUGCAUUAAAAUGCAUUAGAGUCUAGAUACUAAUACCACCGGAAUGGAAUCACACAAAUCUGGAGGACGAGAUUGGUUGUUAGGACAACACGGUCUGCAGCAUCAUAAAUAAAACUUCAAGAGUUAUUAUUACGUAAGAACAGAAACAAUGCCUUUGAAAACACUUUAAGCUUAGCCUAUCCAAGUGGAUGGAUGACUAAAGACAAUUUUGUCUUGGUAAUGGAACAUUUCAUAAAAUACUCGGGGGCUACAUGAAAAUCAAGUCAAUCUUGAUGUCGUUUUUAUGGCAAAAUUAAAUGGUGUCCAUCUGCUCACAUUCCCACCUCACUGUAGCCAUCGACUCCAGCUUUUGGAUGUUUCUGUAUACGGAUCGUUAAAGACAUACUACUCUAAUCCUGGUAAGACGUUGAUCAUUUAUCAUCUACUGGAGCUGAUCAAGACCGCUUUCGAUAAAGCACUGUCGAAUCACACACCAAAAAUUGUUAUAAUAAGCGACAUCAAAUUAACUCCGGAAAUAAUUAGGCACUUCUCAAAAGCAAAGGACGCACACCAGGUAAGACUGAGAUAUUAUCUAAAACUCCGAUAAAGAAGAACUUGAAUAACUUGAACGUGAGAGAAUGCUGAAGAUCUCAAAACAGCAAAAUCAACAAUUGACGAAAACUUUAACUAAAAGAAGAAAACGAUCUGAGAGUGAAGAUAGCGACAUUAGCUGCUCAAGCGUGAGUUCGGGAGAAUGCAAUUUCGUCCCUGAAGAGUUGGAAAAAGAUUUUGACCCAUCUGUCAAUGAAUUGAGAACUGGGGACUACACUGUAGUCAGAUUUUUAACUGAAAGCGAUUGAAAAGUGUCGACUAUGUAGGUCUAGUCGAAGUCAUACACAGCAAUGAAACAUGUUCUGUCAAUUUUAUGAGAAGAAGAAGAAAUACCCCCACAUUCUUUUUCCUGGAAAAUGAAAAUAAAUUGGAUGACAUUCGAUAUAAAAAUAUUGGGCUGCAACUACCACCUCAAAUUUCAGUCGGAGUUACUAACCGGUCUGUGCAACAUAAUUCUUUUGAAGUUGAGCUAAUUUGUAUUAAGAAUUUGCGUUAAUUUAUGCAUUUAUUACAAUAAUUUUUAUAUU